ensembl:antisense Gm35801 predicted gene, 35801
AGAAGCAGCAAACCGAGCAUCAGGUGCCUGCUGGGCAGUGGGAUUGGAGGACUCAUUAACAUACGAUGUUGCUUCGGAACGUGUAAGGACCGCCAGCAGUAGUAACCAGUUCCAUAAACGAAAAGCCAUAAACAUUGCAGGACCCAUGCCUGUGCGACUCUGACUUCGCACCUGGGUCCUGAUGUAUGCCACGCCUCUGCGGCACAGGAAAUGGGUUGAAAGUGGAAGAUAGAUGUAACCCACAUCCACCAUGAAAAUCCAGAUGCCUGGAUGGACUUCCAAAGUUGUCUUGCAUAGCAGGACUGUUCAAAUGGCAGGCUUUGCAUCUGAAUGGUUUCUGGAACUAAACCAUCCUACCAGGCAAGAACCUAGAAUGAGGCACUUUAGCAAGUUGACACUUCAGGGAGGCCAAAGUCCUGUACUGCCUGUGUCCCUUCAAUCCCAGAUUUUAGAGUCAACUAUUAAACAUCUGUACUUCA